CGGUCUGGCGGCGAGUGGCGAACGGGUGAGUAAUGUAUCGGAACGUGCCCAGUAGCGGGGGAUAACUACUCGAAAGAGUAGCUAAUACCGCAUACGCCCUACGGGGGAAAGGGGGGGAUCGCAAGACCUCUCACUAUUGGAGCGGCCGAUAUCGGAUUAGCUAGUUGGUGAGGUAAAGGCUCACCAAGGCGACGAUCCGUAGCUGGUUUGAGAGGACGACCAGCCACACUGGGACUGAGACACGGCCCAGACUCCUACGGGAGGCAGCAGUGGGGAAUUUUGGACAAAGGGGGCAACCCUGAUCCAGCCAUCCCGCGUGUGCGAUGAAGGCCUUCGGGUUGUAAAGCACUUUUGGCAGGAAAGAAAUCGCAUGGAUUAAUACUCUGUGUGGAUGACGGUACCUGCAGAAUAAGCACCGGCUAACUACGUGCCAGCAGCCGCGGUAAUACGUAGGGUGCAAGCGUUAAUCGGAAUUACUGGGCGUAAGGCGUGCGCAGGCGGUUCGGAAAGAAAGAUGUGAAAUCCCAGGGCUUAACCUUGGAACUGCAUUUUUAACUCCCGAGCUAGAGUGCGUCAGAGGGGGGUGGAAUUCCGCGUGUAGCAGUGAAAUGCGUAGAUAUGCGGAGGAACACCGAUGGCGAAGGCAGCCCCCUGGGAUGACACUGACGCUCAUGCACGAAAGCGUGGGGAGCAAACAGGA
rnacentral:rRNA from 1 species